rnacentral:rRNA from 1 species
GAUGGAGGGGGAUAACUACUGGAAACGGUAGCUAAUACCGCAUAACCUCGCAAGAGCAAAGAGGGGGACCUUCGGGCUUCUCGCCAUCAGAUGUGCCCAGAUGGGAUUAGCUAGUAGGUGAGGUAAUGGCUCACCUAGGCGACGAUCCCUAGCUGGUCUGAGAGGAUGACCAGCCACACUGGAACUGAGACACGGUCCAGACUCCUACGGGAGGCAGCAGUGGGGAAUAUUGCACAAUGGGCGCAAGCCUGAUGCAGCCAUGCCGCGUGUGUGAAGAAGGCCUUCGGGUUGUAAAGCACUUUCAGCGGGGAGGAAGGCGAUAAGGUUAAUAACCUUGUUGAUUGACGUUACCCGCAGAAGAAGCACCGGCUAAUUCCGUGCCAGCAGCCGCGGUAAUACGGAGGGUGCAAGCGUUAAUCGGAAUGACUGGGCGUAAAGCGCACGCGGGCGGUCUGUUAAGUUGGAUGUGAAAUCCCCGGGCUUAACCUGGGAACUGCAUUCAAAACUGACAGGCUAGAGUCUUGUAGAGGGGGGUAGAAUUCCAGGUGUAGCGGUGAAAUGCGUAGAGAUCUGGAGGAAUACCGGUGGCGAAGGCGGCCCCCUGGACAAAGACUGACGCUCAGGUGCGAAAGCGUGGGGAGCAAACAGGAUUAGAUACCCUGGUAGUCCACGCUGUAAACGAUGUCGACUUGGAGGUUGUGCCCUUGAGGCGUGGCUUCCGGAGCUAACGCGUUAAGUCGACCGCCUGGGGAGUACGGCCGCAAGGUUAAAACUCAAAUGAAUUGACGGGGGCCCGCACAAGCGGUGGAGCAUGUGGUUUAAUUCGAUGCAACGCGAAGAACCUUACCUACUCUUG